AGGGUUUGAUUCUGGCUCAGAACGAACGCUGGCGGCAUGGAUUAGGCAUGCAAGUUGAACGAACCACUUCGGUGGAGAGUAGCGGAAGGGUGAGGAACGCGUGAGUAAUCUGCCCCCAAGUUGGGAAUAACAGCUGGAAACGGCUGCUAAUACCGAAUGUGGCUUUACUUCUGCAUGGAGGUUUGGCUAAAGAUUUAUCGCUUGGGGAUGAGCUCGCGUCCCAUUAGGUAGUUGGUGAGGUAACGGCCCACCAAGCCGAUGAUGGGUAGCUGGUCUGAGAGGAUGGUCAGCCACACUGGGACUGAGACACUGCCCAG
rnacentral:rRNA from 1 species